UUUAAAACAAAAGUUGUUAAUUAGUUCGGACAACUGUACGAGUUGUUUUUUCUAAACUUAAACCUCAGUAUUCAGGUUUAAUUGCCGUGUUGGCACUUUGAGGGAAACAAAAGUUGGUAUGUAUUGCGGUUUGGGCACUCGAGCUCAAAAAGGUUCGCCAUCACUGCCCUAUGUUAAUCCAGCCCUGUGUGUACGUACACCUUAAUGUAGCCAUACAGGAAAUGCUGUACUGUGUGUUCCCUGGUAUUAUCAGCACACAGCACUCACUGCCUGCGCACAGGCGCUAAAC